ACACACACUUUUUGUUUGCUGCACAUAAUCUGCCCAAUGACGCGUGACAGCCCACGUCCCCUCCCUUUAACUCUUUGCUGGGCUGGGCGCUCCCUCCGGCGCCGCCUGCCUGGAAGCCUUCUCCCCGGCCUGCUGGAAGCCUUCUCCCGAGUCUGCCCCUUGCCUCAAGAAUCCAGAGCACCUUCCCGAGUGGCAACGCUUCUUCAAGAGCGGCGGGUCCAACUCUACCUAAAAGCUUGGGCCCUCUGAUACUGCUAGGAGGGGGAAAUCAGUUUCAGGAUCGGAAAGAAAGCUUUAGGAUAAAUCGGAUUGUGUAGCCGGCUAAAGGGCAAGAGGCAGAACCACGAUUUGAAGAGGAGACAAUCUCGGUCAGGCUCCCACCCCUGGGGUUGAAAUAAGGUGUGUAUAAUAGGGGUUGGCAAAAAGCCUCUUACUGUGUUAGUUGGAUCCAUUCACAGCUCUGAGACCUCUCCCUAUAACCCAGGGGUCAACAAGGCACUGAAUGUCUUUCCUUGCAGGCGCCUGCCCUCCAUGGAGGCAGGAGAUGGAAGGAUCUUGCAAAGCAGAAGUGAAGUGUAGGGUAAUUUCCCAAUGAGUUCAUUUCCAUAGGGUCUCUUCUCCCAGUUUAUCUUACCUGGUCAGCACCCCACACAAGUUUGCAGUCCUUCAGAUCAGACAGAGCCUCUACCUAGAUUAAGGUGGGACCCAAUAAGGAAAGGGCUACAAAAUUCUCCAUAUAUGGGAGAAAGGGCAGAAUUUUCCCUUCACUUGCAGGUUAGCUACUGAUUGUUCAAAGAAAGCUUCUUGAACUGCAGGGGUUUGUUUUUUUCAUCUUAAGGUGUCAUUUCUCUUAUGCAAAUAUAUGCAGUUUUAAGUAGUUUGGCUGAGUGACCCCUAAUAACAGAGACUCAGUACAAUGAAGGCUAGCAUGUCUGCAUAUGAAAAUCUGCAGGUGUAUUUAGUUAUCUUGAUGGCUGCUCCAUCAUGUCUCAUAUUCAACUGUCCUCUCCCCAUCCCAAUCAUUUCUUUAAAGGACCGGUGGGAGAGUUACAAAUGUUGAAAAGAUUGCUUCAAACAUCUGGGGAAAAAACACUCAAGACAGAAGAAUAGUGGCAAGAUUCUUAAGUGAAAUGAGAGAAGAGAAGGAAAAGAAAGAACAGGAGAAAAAGGACAGCAAGUUAAGACUCAAAAGUAGCCAAAACAGAAGUGCAGUCCUGCAGAAAUCACAGCAAGAUACAGCGUGUACUGGGGUGGUGUGAGGGUGGUGUUCAGGGAUUUAAUUCCAUUAAUCUGAGGAAUAGAACACUUCUUUGUGCCUGUUUUAGAUAUUCUUUAGAAAACACACAGUUUGUCUUUUCCAGAAAAAAGUCAUCUGUCCAUGCAAGCCACUUUUGUAAUCCUAUCACACACAGUAAAUGUAAAAGCAUCCACUCCAGAAGAUGGGCAUUUAGAAGCUCUAAAUGGAAGACAUUUUUCUUGUGCCUUGCUUUUUUUCUUAAGUAUAGAGAAUUUCUCCUUUCUCCUUUCUACUAUGUCUCUUUUACAUAUGAGACCUUGUCUCCAGUUUGUAUAAUACAAAGUGUUUCUGGUACUUAAAAUGGGGGUGGGUAAACUUGACCUUUAAAUCUCAAGCUAGAAAAGGACUACAAUUGUAUACAUCAGAGAAAGGAGAGGUUUAUUGAGAAUCUGGCCUUCAGAUGUUUCAUCUAAGUUUCUUUUUCUUUUUCUCUUUCUUUCUUUCUUUCUUUUUAAAAAAUUUUUUUUUUGCCUAAAUUAGAUUCCUUCUCCUGCUUUUUUAAAAAAUCCUCCCAUUAUAUGGAUCCAACCAACUCUUUGUUUUAUGGACCAAAUGACUAACUUAACAACAGCAAUAAAAAUCAAAUAUGGGUAAGAAAUUCAUGCUUGGAGAGUUUUCCAGUAUUUUAAGUAGUACACAUUUUACAUGGUAAUAUAAAUGGUGUAAAUGACAAUCAUUAAUAGUAGAUUUAAAAAAUCACAAAUUAUUUUUAUUUCUCUAGAACUUCACAGGUUAGAACAGGUUAGAAUGGUGCAAAAACUACUUUGAAAUCACUUACUAGAAUACAGUGAUACUAAAUGAAGGGUUGAGGAAUUUAUUCAGUCUCAGACAGUACUAUAAAAAUAUACCUCAGUCAAUAGUUUUAUGUAAUUGACACGGAAUGAUGGGUUUAUGCAUACAUUUGGAGCUCUUUUCCCUGGGAUUUUAUUUCCAAUUAAGUGGUUAGAAGAAUGACAAUGAAGAGUAUGCUCACCUUAUUCUGCUUUAGCAAGACUUCUUGUAAUCAUGGAAAAAAUACACAUGUAGACAACUGCAGUGUUGUUGGGAAGAGAAGUCUGGAGAGAAGUUGAUGAAUGAUUCUGAAGUGGUGCCUUUUAUGACCUAAGUGAGAGGGUGGAGAAUGAGUGAGAAAGGAAAUCUGAUUCUCAGUGAAUAUCAGAAGAAGAAUGCUCUUUCUCUUCCAGGGUCCAGAAAAUAUCUUAAUUUCUGUAAUAGGAAACAAGUAAAAAUAACCCUGCAAAUAAUCUUACUUUGAAGAUUAUCCUAUAAGAAUGAAAACACAUUGUUUUCCUAUUCCAGGUCCCAGUUCAUCCCUUCUAAUUAUUUUUCCAAAGCAAUACACCAGCAAAGGUUUGCUUGUCAAAAGUGUGGCAAUUCAUAGCGAAAAGAAAAUUGCACUUGAAGACAAGAGGAUGCCAAUGAAGCAGAUGAAGCAGACGGUGGCAGCUCUUCCCUAAGUUUAUUAAUUUCCCACAGAGAGGUCUGUGCAUGGGGCUAUUGGGAGUUGUGGGAGACAGAGAAUGGAACUUCAUGGAGAAGUAUUGCAUUACCUAACCCUGACAUCCAGAAUAAGGAACUUUCUAAGAGAUAAACUUGACUGAUUACUUGUACAUGAAGGAGAAACAGAAAUAAUGGUUUGGUGGGUAGGGAAAAACCACCAGUCUUGUACCAAAAGUGUUGUUCAGAGGAUUGUUAACUCAUUUCUUUUGCCUUUUGUCAGGAGAAUGAUAACUGGGAGUUUAAGAAGGGAAAGUGAGAAGCUGGGGAUAUAGCUUGCCUUGCAUGCACAAGGCCUUGGGUUCAAUCCCCAGCACCACACACACACACACACACACACACACAAAAAAAAAAGAUAGAGGGAGGGAGUAUCUUAAUCUGACUAUUUCUUUAUUAUAUCUUGAUGAGUAAAGAAGAUCUGCUGCUGAACUGCAGAAGGGUUUAUAGGGAAUGAGGGGGGCACCCUGUAUUUUUAUAAGUAUACAUGACCAGCUCUGUUUAGGUCUGGUCAUUACACCAAGUAUUUGGGUUGGUUCACUGGGUGAUAAAUGAGUAAAUGUUACCCAGGCUGGUCCUGAGAAAGCCAGAGACUCAGGAGUGGAUAAUUCUGUAGCCUUGAAGAAGGUCUUCAAUUCUGACUGUAGAAAUCAUGAUUCUGGAUUCACUUUUGUCUGCUUCUCAAUAAACACUACUGUUUUAAUGCUGAUGAUGAUACCACUAGUAUUAUCAUCAUGAUUAAAAAUCUCCCUUUCUCAAGUUUAAAAUCUUUCUCUGUGAGGAAUGAUAAUUCCAUUUACACUUCUUUUGGAGUUCAUCAUUGAAAGUUUUGUGUUGCCCUCUCCUGUUAACCUCUACUGGAUCUGACCUGUAGUCAACUGGCUCAAUGGCUUCAGUGUAUGACUUUCAGGAGAGCUAACAAAUUAAAGUGAUCUACCACAGAUCUGAAA